AGUUUGGGUAUUUUGGUCUUUUUACUCACCAACCUUAUCCCUUUUGAUCCCAGCUCGACCCCUGCAACCUGGAUAAGCCUCCUUGAGCUCAGCAAAGUGGGUUUGAAGGAAGUGUUUUAGAGUUGCUGUGGGAAAAAGAAGGAGUAUUAAGGGGUAUUUCAUGACCUUGCAAACUCUUAUAGCUGGUUGAGGUUUUAGAAAGCUGAAUUGGGAGAAGUCACAAGACAGCUAGAGAAGGGUUUAACUCCUGGAAUUUUCUGCUAUAAUUUCCUAGAAAGCUGAAUCGAACUUGGAGAAGCUGUAGGUUAUCCACUUAGAGCUGAUUUGAAGGGUGGUAAUGAGCCGAAUUAAGGUGUUGUAACCGGACUCGAGGUGGAGGAUUAACACUGCGCUAAACCUAGAUUUAUAACAGGGUAUUAGAUAACUUUCGGCUGUAUAUUGAGAGCCUUCGGAGAUGAAAUUGAGCGUGCUAACCUGAACCAAAACAAAGGUGCAAGCUGUGACCAGGUUUGAGCUGAGCUUCGGGGAGCUUCUGCAUACAUUGGAGAGUGGAUUUAACUUCCCUAUUUAUUUAGGAACUUGGACGCUUGAAUUGUUCACCGCGUGAGAUUGACAAGAGGCAUCGUAUAGUAGAGCCAUCGACAGGAGAGACUAGGGAUCGUGGCAAGGGAGUCGCGUCUAGUUAGACACUGCUAGGGGCUUGCUAGUUGAUCACCUUGCUACUCGGGCUACGGCCGAGGGUGAUAUCCCUGUGUAUAGAGAGACUGCCAUUGUACAUGUUGUUGGAGUAGCCUUUGAUGUAUAUGAGAGUUUGAACCAGAUGUUAUAGUUUUGGUACUUUAUUUUGUACUUUUAUUCUUGAGUUGGUUACUCUUCGUUCUUCUGUUGAAUGUACUAUUGACUGGUACGCUGCUCUGAUAUCAGGAUAGGGUUUUCUAUGUUUCCU